AAAGUGCGAUCUACACAUCACUCAAAUUAGUAUUAUUGCUAACAAAUAAUGAUAGAAGUGCUGUAUUAAUAUUAUAUUUUUGUGGGGUGCAGGUGAUCGUAAAUUAAAGUUAAAAUACGCAUUGGGUCCAAAAAGAUGCAUCACCAUAUGCGACCAUGUUGCCCAGAUAGACAACCCAAGAGAGGGGGUGAAUUGGGUUUUAAAAUAAUUUGGCUAUUAAAACUUUUGUGGAUAACUAAUUAAUGCUUUUGCGAGAUGAUUAAUUAGUUUCUAUGUGCGGUGAAUAAAAUGCGAGAGAUAGAGAGAGACAAACAAUCACAAACACAAUGUUUUAUAGUGGUUCGGAGCUAACCCUUGCUCCUACGUCCACUCCCCAAGUCUCACUUGGGAAUUCACUAUAACCCCUAGGAUUACAGCCGGUUGUUUUACAAGCUCACAACCAAACUUGUUGUUUUACGAGCUCACAACGAACUCGGUCGGUUUUUCCUGGCUUACCGACUAGAACCGCCCCGAUUGUUUUCCCGGGAUCACAAUCGAACCCUUACACGUUGGUUUUACACUCGGCUCACCAACCAACCUCAAUACCCUUG
rnacentral:lncRNA from 1 species